UACAGAGGGGGCAAGCGUUAUUCGGAAUUAUUGGGCGUAAAGGGCGCGUAGGCGGCUUGGCAAGUGGAAGGUGAAAUCCCUCGGCUCAACUGAGGAACUGCCUUCCAGACUGCUUUGCUUGAGUCCGGGAGAGGUGAGUGGAAUUCCCAGUGUAGCGGUGAAAUGCGUAGAUAUUGGGGAGGAACACCAGUGGCGAAGGCGGCUCGCUGGACCGGUUCUGACGCUGAUGCGCGAAAGCGUGGGGAGCAAACGGG
rnacentral:rRNA from 1 species